CUAGAGAACUCGUGCACACAGUUAGACAUUUCGAAUUGAAAGUUAUCGUUGACUGUCUUUCUAACACUUUAAUAACAUACCUUACUAACCUAAUAUGUUUGGGUCGUGGGUGCCAAUGGAUGGUAGUCCAACAGAAGUUUUCUUAAUAUUUACUUUUCUUGGCAAUACAAUUGAGCCCUGCAGGUCAGUGACGUAAGCCUGGUUUAUGAUUGAACGUUUUCCAUAGCCGGCUUUAACCCCCCAUCCUCUGGUGUAGGAUAGAUGUGCUUGUCCCUGGAAGCUGAUCUGAGGCCAGUUUGAAGUUAGAAUGAGCGGUUUAAAGUUAAAAUGAGAGGUUUGGUAAUCUGAUCCUAUAUCAGCAGAAUCCACCCAGGGCGCUGUUAGAUACAAGUAACAUAUCGCAGGCUGUUGCGUUUUCUCGGAGGGAGUAGCACUACGCGUAACGGCAUCCAUUCUCCCCAGUCCCCCAGUCUCAGCGGUGUGAUGGAUAAAGCCUCGCCGACCACACACAAUCUCUGCCCGUAUCGAUGUCUCUGUGCCCCUACGGACACCAUCUGGGACAUGCCAUGAGAUGUCAGCUGGGUUAUUUCUCACGCCGUCUCAGUACAGGUGAGAGUGUGGAAACAAGGGACAACGGAAAAGAAGGAUAACAUGAGAGUUCGGUUAUAGCGCGGAUUGACUACAAGCUGCUGGAGCGAACAGGGCAAAGGAUUUGUGAUGUCGAAGUAAAGCAUCGGGCAACGGUGUAAUACAGUAGGCUAGUUAGUGCACCAUUGACCAUCACACCGAAAGUGUUUUAGUGAAUAUCCCAAUCACAGGUUUGUGAAAUACCAGGAUACGGGCUUAUCUGACAGGGGACUGUUAGGUGCUGUCCACUCCUGACCUACAGGAUGCAUCCUCCUGGUGCUGAUUUACACAGGAGAUCCAACCAGAAGAGGUUUUGAGGCCUCGCAGGACCCUCCGCCCCCUUCUCUGCCUCCUCCCCCUCUCCACCUCUACCUGACUUUUGAUGUAUAGAACCCAUUGCUGAACG